CCUACGGGAGGCAGCAGUGGGGGAUAUUGGACAAUGGGGGAAACCCUGAUCCAGCGACGCCGCGUGAGUGAAGAAGUAUUUCGGUAUGUAAAGCUCUAUCAGCAGGGAAGAAAGAAAUGACGGUACCUGAGUAAGAAGCCCUGGCUAACUACGUGCCAGCAGCCGCGGUAAUACGUAGGGGGCAAGCGUUAUCCGGAAUUACUGGGUGUAACGGGAGCGUAGACGGUAAUGCAAGUCUGGAGUGAAAGGCGGGGGCCCAACCCCCGGACUGCUCUGGAAACUGUGUAACUGGAGUGCAGGGGAGGCAGGCGGAAUUCCUAGUGUAGCGGUGAAAUGCGUAGAUAUUAGGAAGAACACCAGUGGCGAAGGCGGCCUGCUGGACUGUAACUGACGUUGAGGCUCGAAAGCGUGGGGAGCAAACAGGAUUAGAUACCCUUGUAGUC
rnacentral:rRNA from 1 species